ACGGAAGGCAGCAGUGGGGGAUAUUGCACAAUGGGGGAAACCCUGAUGCAGCGACGCCGCGUGAGCGAAGAAGUAUUUCGGUAUGUAAAGCUCUAUCAGCAGGGAAGAAAAUGACGGUACCUGACUAAGAAGCCCCGGCUAACUACGUGCCAGCAGCCGCGGUAAUACGUAGGGGGCAAGCGUUAUCCGGAUUUACUGGGUGUAAAGGGAGCGUAGACGGCAUAGCAAGUCUGAAGUGAAAGCCCGUGGCUCAACUGCGGGACUGCUUUGGAAACUGUUAGGCUAGAGUGUCGGAGAGGUGAGUGGAAUUCCCAGUGUAGCGGUGAAAUGCGUAGAUAUUGGGAGGAACACCAGAGGCGAAGGCGGCUCACUGGACGAUUACUGACGUUGAGGCUCGAAAGCGUGGGGAGCAAACAGGAUUAGAUACCCUGGUA
rnacentral:rRNA from 1 species